rnacentral:lncRNA from 1 species
GUUGGACGGAUCUAUGAAUUAUACUCUGCGUAUUGCCCUUAACGCUGAUACACCGACAACACACCCCGCGCACAUCCCUCAGUCGGCCAGUAAACGUCUUAGCAGGUGCACGCAUGCUUAUGAUAAUAAAAUAUGUUCGUGUAAAGUGGCGCAGGAGGUGAUUAUUCUGGAAUUGUUCUCUCUCCUAUCGUUGCCAUAAUUAAAGGACCAAGAAUUAAGAAUGCCGAGAAAAACUAAACACAAACGAGAGCACGAUAGACUUCAAAAGAAAAAAAAAUAUGCAGCAAUUAAGGCAGGUCCUGAAAAGUAUAAAGAAGAUCAGUGUUCGAAAGGGCCGCAGUCACCGAAAGUCAAAAAAUUAUCUGAUAUUAAUGUGACUGAUUGGGAAAACAGAAAAUUUUAUGUUGAUAAAAAGGAACCCGUUGACAAAACUUUUCAGACCGAUUUAGGGAAAUUUAUCAUGUCCAAUAGCGAACCAGAGCAUGAUACCAAAGAAAAUGUAGAAGGAGUAUACGCAAAGAGAGAAAUUCAAAAUUUUUGUGAUGAUGAUUCCGAUGAAAAUAUUUCCUAACACUAUGAGUUAUUUUAAUUCAUUUGUUUUUGAUAUCAUAUUUUCGAAAUAUUUUUUUAAAAGUAUAUAAUUACAUUGCGAGAAGUCUAAUUUUAGUUUUGUAGCCUGAUUCUUAGGUUAUCUUGCCCUAUUCCCAAUUUUAUUUGGGGUCGGCGCAAUAUGUCUUCUGCUUUUUUGUGUCAUCUGUCAGACAAUUCAUCCAUCUUUUCUUAAGUCCUCCUCUUCUUCUCCAUCCAUCUACAUUUAUACCUAGCACACACUUUGUUGCAUGCGUAUCAUCCCUCCUCAUUACAUGCCCAUACCAUGACAACCUUCUUACUUCUCAUCUUUUCUGUAACAGGCGCUACUUUCAGACUUCCUCUAAUGUAACCAUUCCUCACUUUAUAUCAAUUCUUGUCACACCACACAUCCAUCUCAACUUUCUCAUUUCUGCUACAUGUACUGUCUUCUCAUCCCCCUUUUUCAGUGGCCAACACUCAAAUUCACCCUUGUUCUUAAAAAAACUAUUGCACCACUCGUCUGGUAUUGUUUCCUCUUGCAAACACUUAUUGAAGAAUAAAGUCAGCCAUUUCCAUCCAUCCAUCUUUAAUACCUUCCACACUUUCACUCGUAUUCCACCUGGCCCUAACGCUUUUCCAUAUUAUACUAAUUCUUAGCUUGUAGAAGAAAAAUAAAAGCUUCUGAUUUUUUGUCUCAUUAUUCUCAAAGAUUAUGAUUAUUGUGUAGAAAAAUAAGUAAAAAAUUAAAAAAGGCAAGAAAAAUACCCUUAUCAUAAGUAUCCGAUCAUUUAGAAGUCUAAUUUUAAUUUCUUUAUUUAGUUUAUUGAAUAUAAAAAUAAAUCUUUCUUAUCCAAGUUUUUAUCAGU